UACAAGACCUCAGAUCUUCUGACUGGUGUCCCGGACUAUACGCCGAUAUUCAUGUGGGCAAAUCUCACCAACGUACUAGGACUUGAAUAACGAAGACAGAACUCAGUUCACGGAGGAAGGCAAUUUUCGAUUUCUCUCUCUCAAAGGAGUGGACGAAAAUUUUUGAGUGGAAAAAGGAUCCUUGGUGUUAUUGGCUGUCAAGGGGGGUGUUGUGGCUACAUAUUUCGAGAGCAAGAGGGGAAGAGAGAAGAAAACGCUUUUGACUACCAUAUUACUUUGUCCAAUUCCACUUUGGCUACUCCCCAAUUGCUAGGACUUUAGUCAUGUAGGGAUAGUAGUAGCUAUAUUUCCAAUUCUAUGUAAUAGUAGCCAUCCUUAUGUAAAGGCACAUUGCAUGUACUAUUGGUAGUUCCAUUUCUUGAAAUUUAUA